GACGAACGCUGGCGGCGUGCUUAACACAUGCAAGUCGAACGGUAAGGCCCUUCGGGGUACACGAGUGGCGAACGGGUGAGUAACACGUGGGUGAUCUGCCCUGCACUUCGGGAUAAGCCUGGGAAACUGGGUCUAAUACCGGAUAGGACUCCUGGCUUCAUGGUUGGGGGUGGAAAGCUUUUGCGGUGGGGGAUGGGCCCGCGGCCUAUCAGCUUGUGGGUGGGGUAAUGGCCUAGCAAGGCGACGACGGGUAGCCGGCCUGAGAGGGUGACCGGUCACACGGGGACUGAGAUACGGCCCAGGCUCCUACGGGAGGCAGCAGUGGGGAAUAUUGCACAAUGGGCGCAAGCCUGAUGCAGCGACGCCGCGUGAGGGAUGACGGCCUUCGGGUUGUAAACCUCUUUCAGCUAUGACGAAGCGCAAGUGACGGUAGUAGCAGAAGAAGGACCGGCCAACUACGUGCCAGCCGCCGCCGUAA
rnacentral:rRNA from 1 species